rnacentral:rRNA from 1 species
CGCGUAGGCGGGAUGGCAAGUCGGUCGUGAAAUCCUUCGGCUCAACCGAAGAACGUCGGCCGAUACUGCCGUUCUUGAGGGAUGCAGAGGAGAUUGGAAUUCCCGGUGUAGCGGUGAAAUGUGUAGAGAUCGGGAGGAACACCGGUGGCGAAGGCGGGUCUCUGGGCAUCUCCUGACGCUGAGGCGCGAAAGCGUGGGAGCAAACG